GCUACCAUGGAUUCCGGCGCUGCCCCGGGCCUCCCACCGCGGCGGCCGAGUGCUCCAGCGGGUGAGCGGCUGGGGUGGGAGGUGGUUGGAUGGAGCUGAGAUGGAGGGGGUCGCCCUGCCUACAGUAAAACUGAUGUUGGUGUCUGAUGUUGGAAUUUUAGUGUCAACAUAUUUGUUUGAUGUUGCUAUUAUUUUUGGAAAAAACUUGAUUUGAUUUUUUAGUGAUCCACAUGUUUGCUGGAUCUUCAUUCCUCUCUCCUUUUCUUGGAACUUCUUCUCUCUACCUCGAUAAUUCUUGUAGUCGAAGCGCUGGAUGCAUGGAUCACUGUGAACGAACUUCUCAUCCUUUUCUAUUUUUACAAAAAAUUGGUGUUUAUCUUGGAAACAUGCUCACCGGCGCGGUCGGAUGAAGGUGAAGACGCCGUCCGUGAUGUGUGCAUCGGAAGCAGCCAGCAGAGGAGCCUCGCUCCUGUGGUAAGGAGGAGGAGGGGUUGGAGCUCUGUUUUUUCCAUCAAUGUCAGCCCAGGGUAACCUCUGCUUUGUGAUUUCGAUUUGUGUAGCCUCUGUACUAGGACGGGGAAGUUUUCUUGCGCCUGGCUUGUUGCUCUGGACCUGUCCUCCUGUGGAUUAUUUCCUGCUGCCCUUGCCUUGAUACUGAUACAUCCCCUUUCCUUUGUUUUUCUGAUCUGCACUUUGUAUUUUCUUUCUGACCUGAAUCUGUUAAAUUCUGGGCUUUGAUGUGUACUCUACAUGGAUUUGAUGUUUCAGAUUGGUAAAAUAGAAAGCAAGUGGUGAUGAGUUACAGUUAGAUGUGCAUUUUCUAGUGUAUUGAACUUAUCAGCUUGAGUCCAUGAGGAUCGCGAGUGCUAUUUUCCCUCCCCAGUUUGGCUUUCUGCUCUAGAGUGCUCAAAGGGACACAUGUUCAGUCGGCACUGCAGGAGCUAGGUUCUUGGUUCAUUUGUUCUGGUCAAAUUGUCCUCCCGUAUGUGCUGCUAUUGAAGACUAAUUUCGUGAGAUAUAGAGCAGGUCGCCUGGUCAAAUUGUUGAUUUCCUUUGUUUGAGAGAGAAACAGAGCGGAGAGACGGAGAUGGAUUGGGAAUCAGAUAACAGGAGAGACACAUGCGGCUGCUAGAGUUGAUUUCAUCUUUUGGGUUGAAGAAGACGCUAGAGACAAGCAAAAUUAACCCCUGAUUGCUCAUGGUCAUUGGUCUUGAUGCCCUUCUGCCGGAAACAGUAUGAACAACACUCACCUCAGGUUCUGCUACAAGUGUAAGAAUGGCACCCAGAGCAGGUGACUACAAAUCCAAUAACGAGCCUGAGAUAGCGGACAGUAGGUAUCAUCUAAGAUCAUUCUGAUGAUGAUGUUGCAUGCGAGAAGUAAUGGGAAAAGGCACCAGAUUCAGAAGGUGAAGCAGUUGGUAGAGAUGAUUAAGGGCACACACUGUGUAGAGAUUUCCAUGCGUUUCAAUUUGUUGAUGUAUACUGGUGUAUUGUUGAAAUAAACAAAUUUAUGGUUGUAAUUAAGGACCAGUAGAACGUUGCCGACAAUUUGUCGUAGACCACAAGAUUAUGUAUGUGGUAGCUCUUGAAAAACACAAACAGACAUGGCCUCUCACAAGUUUGAUUUACCAGCCUAAGAUCCGAAUACAAUCACACUUUUUUCUCGAUUGAAAAGUAUAUGGCCCUGGCUUUCU